GACGAACGCUGGCGGCGUGCUUAACACAUGCAAGUCGAACGGAAAGGCCCUGCUUUUGUGGGGUGCUCGAGUGGCGAACGGGUGAGUAACACGUGAGUAACCUGCCCUUGACUUUGGGAUAACUUCAGGAAACUGGGGCUAAUACCGGAUAGGAGCUCCUGCUGCAUGGUGGGGGUUGGAAAGUUUCGGCGGUUGGGGAUGGACUCGCGGCUUAUCAGCUUGUUGGUGGGGUAGUGGCUUACCAAGGCUUUGACGGGUAGCCGGCCUGAGAGGGUGACCGGCCACAUUGGGACUGAGAUACGGCCCAGACUCCUACGGGAGGCAGCAGUGGGGAAUAUUACACAAUGGGCGGAAGCCUGAUGCAGCAGCGCCGCGUGCGGGAUGACGGCCUUCGGGUUGUAAACCGCUUUCGCCUGUGACGAAGCGUGAGUGACGGUAAUGGGUAAAGAAGCACCGGCUAACUACGUG
rnacentral:rRNA from 1 species